GGGGAUUUAGCUCAGUGGUAGAGCCCUUGCCUAGCAAGUGCAAGGCCCUGGGUUCGGUCCCCAGCUCCA
rfam:Rattus norvegicus chromosome 7, whole genome shotgun sequence.